GGCUCGCUCUAGAUGCGUGCGUGUGCGCGCACGGGCUCUCGCUGUUUCUCUCUCUCGUGCGCCGUUCUUUGCGCCUGCGCGUGCUGCCGGGUCCGCGGCCCGGUCCGUCCUCCCUGUCCAGCGAUCGUCGGCUGUGGUGGUGGCGGCGGCGCGCCGCGAUCGGUGCUUUCUUGCCUCUGGCGCUGCCGCUGCCGAUCGGCUUUUCCCCCCUUUUUGUAAGUGUGUGUGGCGCCAUGUCGUGGCCCACGGCAGACCCACAUAAAGAGCCCGUGAGACCCAGGCAUCGUCCAAAAGAAAAUGGGUAAAGCAAAUUCAAAAGGAAAAAGGAUCGCACAAAAAAAAGCGGCGGAGCGAAAGCAACGGGGGCGCCUGUGCGGGCAACCCGACGGACCGAAAAAAUGCACAAAGGACCCCGCGAGAACAAAAAGAAAACAGCCGCCGAGGUCGCGCCCGGCAAGUGGGGGUCGCGCACCCAAACACGGCACCCAAGAAAAGGACACCAGGCGCAACGCGGAACCGCGCAAGGACAAACACACAGAGAGGCACGCCCGAUUUACACAUGAGCCGCCGGCAAUCCCUCGGCGCGCAUGCCGUCGGGUCCUUCCGCCCAUGAGCCGCAUCGCCGCCCAACGUUUUUUCCCGACAUUUUCUUUUUUUAUUUUUAUUAACUUUGUUAUUUGCUGGCGCGUGCGCUUUUUUCUUUUCAGCCUCGCUCGCCCCAUGCUCUAGCGCGCUCUAUUGGGUCGAGUUGCGCUUUGCCGACGCACCGACGCCGAGCGCCGCGCACGGAGCGCGCUCUCUAGAAAAACACGAAAAAGUGGGCCACGCGCGCAAUACGGCAAACACUCUUUUUUUUUCUUUCUUUUUUUUCUUUCUUUUUUUCUUUCUACCGCGGCGGCGCUCGUCGGCGGCCCGCGUCGCAAUGAAAAAGGAAAUACACAUAAAAAGGGGCCAGGAAAACAGAGCGCGCACGCACGCCGACAACGAUGAAGC
rnacentral:lncRNA from 1 species